GUGGGGAAUAUUGGGCAAUGUGCGGAAGCCUGACCCAGCGACGCCGCGUGGGGGAAGAAGUCUUUCGGGAUGUAAACCCUUGUUGUACGGGACGAAGGAAGUGACGGUACCGUACGAGGAAGCCCCGGCAAACUACGUGCCAGCAGCCGCGGUAAUACGUAGGGGGCGAGCGUUGUCCGGAAUCACUGGGCGUAAAGCGCACGUAGGCGGGCUGUCAAGUCGGCCGUGAAAGGCACGGGCUCAACCUGUGCAUGUCGGUCGAUACUGGCGGUCUGGAGUAUGGGAGAGGGAACUGGAAGUCCCGGUGUAGCGGUGAAAUGCGUAGAUAUCGGGAGGAACACCAGUGGCGAAGGCGGGUUCCUGGCCCAUGACUGACGCUGAGGUGCGAAAGCCGGGGGAGCGAACGGGAUUAGAAACCCGAGUAGUCC
rnacentral:rRNA from 1 species